UGAAACCCAAUUCCUUAACAGUUUCUCACCCUUCUCUUCUCUUCUCUUCAUCUACUCUUUUCAAAAAGGUAAGCUUCUUUUUUGCUUGCACCCUUCGAUUUUUCUCAGCUUUCAUGGAGUGUAACGAGUCAUCUACUUGAGUUUUGGCCACCCUUUUGUGCCUUGCAAAUAGGGUUUUCAUGCUCUGAAUUUGGUUGUGAUGGUUUUUACUUUCUACCCUUUUCUUGUUCUGCCAAAAGGGUUGUUUUGGGCUGUUUUGGUUUUGGAGGGUCAAGGUGUUGUUUCCUCUGUUAUG
rnacentral:misc_RNA from 1 species